GACGAACGCUGGCGGCGUGCUUAACACAUGCAAGUCGUACGGUAAGGCCCUUUCGGGGGUGCACGAGUGGCGAACGGGUGAGUAACACGUGAGUAACCUGCCCACAACUUUGGGAUAACGCUAGGAAACUGGUGCUAAUACUGGAUAUGUGCUCCUGCUGCAUGGUGGGGGUUGGAAAGCUCCGGCGGUUGUGGAUGGACUCGCGGCCUAUCAGCUUGUUGGUGGGGUAGUGGCCUACCAAGGCGGCGACGGGUAGCCGGCCUGAGAGGGUGACCGGCCACAUUGGGACUGAGAUACGGCCCAGACUCCUACGGGAGGCAGCAGUGGGGAAUAUUGCACAAUGGGCGCAAGCCUGAUGCAGCAACGCCGCGUGCGGGAUGACGGCCUUCGGGUUGUAAACCGCUUUCAGCAGGGACGAAGCUUUUUGUGACGGUACCUGCAGAAGAAGCACCGGCUAACUACGU
rnacentral:rRNA from 1 species